UUGCCCAAAAACCCCUUCAAAGAUGUUAAUCUAGAGAGAUUAAUAUUUCCGUGCACCUUCAGAAGAUGUUGUGUCCAGUGGGAAUGGAAUUAAUAUUGCCUGGGUAGAUUCAAUUCAGAACGUGCCCUAACGGCACUCAAAGGAGCGUGUCCACAGCACUCAAAUUACAGACCAAUGGCCGUUAAAAAAACAGUGACCGUUGAAAAAGCAGGAUUUCACUUCUUAUAAAUGAACAGUUUACUUGAGAAGCAGGACAGAUUUCUUGUUCUGUUUUCUUUUUGGUUUGAUUUGUCUCCCAUUGUAUGUUUUUGGCAUGGCCAUGCCUAUUUUUGAAUUUUGCUUUCCUGAAUUUUGGUAUUUCAUGUAUCUUUUUUUUUUUUCUGUGGGUCGUUAUUUUUUAAUGGGCAUGUAGUAUUCAGCAGCAAGAACUCUACAUUCUGGGGUGGCUGAUUGGAGAUGUGGCCAGAAAAUAUUUCCCUGGUCAUCUUUAUCGAGGCUACAGUUGCUAUGUUUACAGCUGCUAUGUUUUCCAAAGGCAAGCAGAGUGGCAGGAAGCCAUUGUUUCGUCUAGUGACUAAGCCAAUGAGCUCUACGGCAAGUUGAAUUCGAGGUUCUUGGUGUUGACCUCAAUCAAUUCUGCUAAUUGUCCGCAUGUUUUGUCGAAGGUGUCAGUGAUUUGCACGGUGCAUUUCCUCGAGUACUUGUUUUCCUUGUGCUUCUUCGCCAUCCAUUUCUUUAAUUGGAUAUUUUGUAUUCUCGCUCGUCUACUUUUUGUGUAGGGGCGGGCUUCCUCUGUUUCUUAUUCAGUCCAAGUUUUAUCUCCCUCGGUCUCCAUUUGGUCCUCAGUCUUCCUUGUUUGUCUCUGUCUGAUUUGUUCUAGUUCUGUUUCUGCCAUGAUGACACUACGUUUUGUGUGGCAAGUAUUUUGGCUCUUACUGAGGCUAUUUUGCAGGGGCUUGGCAACCUUGCUAUCCUAUUUGAUGGAUGCAUUAUGAUCAUAUUCUUCCCCUUUUAUUAACAGGACUGUUUUUGUUUUGGUUUUGGUUGA